ACAGUUUUAUUGAGAAUUCGCGCGUGACGUCGUUUUAGGCGGGGUUUAGCCAUAGACAGUAAAAGAAACUUUCCACUGAAAGUAGUUCGAAACCUGAACACUUUAGUAUCAUCAUGUAUACCGCGCUAUUGUUUCUUGCUUUGUUCUCGUGCUUUUCUCUCACAGCGGGAAGGUCGCUCGAAGGUGGAGCGUGUGUUGGGAUUCGGAGAGAAGAUUCCUUUGACUUUGAGCUGCCCAGAGCUGUAGCGGUGCACGUGCAAGACCCUGUCUGUGAUGCGACCUGGACCAUUGACCAAUCCACAGCAAUCCUGGAUGGAAAUUUAAUUCACUGUUCUUAUCCCUGCAAAAACGUAACUCGCCUGGGAAUCAGUGUGUCUUAUUGUCCAGCUUCGGUCAAAUUCCACGUCACUUGUUCAAUAUACACCAACGAACUCACAUGUUAUUGCACAAAUUCCACCAAGAAUCCAGUUUCUAGCACAAUCCUGCCAUCUACAGAUGUGUCUUCCUCUGCCUUCAAAACUGAUUCAUCAUUGAGGACACACUUUCAGAAGUUCCACACAAAACAGAAGAAUAUCAGUAGUAAUCAUUAUCCUCAUUUCAUGUUGGUCGAUGUUAUGGAACCACAGACUGCAAAAAUAAUGCAAGUUCUCUCUCUCUCUAGUUUUGCUAAACCUUGUAGAAAUCACUAUCCUGAAAUUCCUGUUUCGCAAGCCACUCCUCAAACGUUUACUUUUAAGUUAAAUGUCAAAACUCAGUUGAGCAAUCUCAAAGAGCAAACAGGUCAAGUACACAACCAAAAACAACUGCACUGAACUAAGAUAAUUCUCUUAGGAAACUUGUAAAAAUAUGUAAACAGGAACAGGAAGCAAUCUAGAGUUCUGGAGAUAGGAGAAGGACCAACUUUACUGCAAGUGCUGUUGUAACAGGGAGUUUCCUGUAACUAAAACCAUGUAGAAAUGUGUUGAAAGAGAGAAUAUAUGACCAAAUGCACAGGCAGCAAAUCAUAGAUCUUUAGUAUUAUUAGUAUAAUUAUCUUUAAUAUAAUCUGUAUAAUCUACUAUUAUUAUCAUUAGAACUAUUAGUAUUAUUACGUUGGCACGUGGCCUUUCCUACCUUGUAGUUGAUAUCAGUGUAUGCAUUUUUAAUAAAGCAAAUGUCAAGGAAAUUUGUAUUUUUUUCAGUGCAUUGAUAUUUUGGUGAAAUAUUCUUCUCUACAGAUUGUGCCAUUGCUGUUGCGGUCACUUUUGCCCUAACCCUUGUCAUUUUGGCUUUCCUCAUCUGUAGGACAAAAAGCAGUGUAAAAUAUGCUCCUAAAAGAAACUCAGCUGAGGAACAAAACCAGCCUGGUCCAGAAUAAUCCUGAGGAGGCAACUGAACUUACCCUAGAAACAACAACACAUGGCGUGGAGUCAUGACAACACAUUAUCAUACAACCUAAUAUAUAUUAUAUUAUAUUAUACCGGUAUAUUAUAUUAUAUUAUAUUAUGUUAUGUUAUAUUAUUAUAUUAUAUUAUAGUACAUUACAGUAGAUGUAUAUAUUAUAUUAUAUGAUAUUAUAUUUUUAGUUAGAGAAACACCACUAAGUGCUAUACAAGCACAAAGUGGAUACAAACUGUAAAAUAUCUGAA